UACGGGGGGGAGCAAGCGUUGUUCGGAUUUACUGGGCGUAAAGCGCGUGUAGGCGGCCCGGUAAGUCCGCUGUGAAAGUCGGGGGCUCAACCCUCGAAUGCCGGUGGAUACUGUCGGGCUAGAGUACGGAAGAGGCGAGUGGAAUUCCUGGUGUAGCGGUGAAAUGCGCAGAUAUCAGGAGGAACACCAAUUGCGAAGGCAGCUCGCUGGGACGUUACUGACGCUGAGACGCGAAAGCGUGGGGAGCAAACAGG
rnacentral:rRNA from 1 species